rnacentral:tRNA from 1 species
GCAGUGAUGGUUCAGUGAUAGAAUUCUUGCCUUCCAUGCAGGAGACCAGGUUUGAUUUCCAGCUAUUGCA